rnacentral:misc_RNA from 1 species
ACCAGAAUGGGGUGCAUAUGAUAGUAAAAAUAUAUCCGUGAAGGAGAGCACUCAAGAAAGCUCAAAUCUUCCAUCUCAAGCUCUAGAAUCAGAUUUUGUAGAUCAUCAUGAUGAAGAAAAUAAACUUGCUGGGACAUGUAUCAUCCCAAUGCCUAAAUUGGAAUCACCUGCAGACCAUGAGGAGAAUGUUGGAGCAGGAAGAAUUGGGUGCUCCUGUGGAGAUGCUGGUUCCUUUGGAUGUGUUCGGUUGCACAUCAUGGAAGCAAGGGAGAAACUUAAGGCGGCCUUGGGUGAGGAAACAUUUGUUAGGUUGGGUGUUUAUGAUAUGGGAGAGAUAGUGGCAGAGAAAUGGAGUGAAGAGGAAGAGGAAUUAUUUCAUGAAGUUGUAUUUUCCAAUCCUGCAGCAUUAGGCAAGAAUUUCUGGGACCACCUUGCUGUUGAAUUUCCUUCACGGAGCAAGAGAGAUCUUGUUAGCUAUUACUUCAAUGUCUUUAUUUUGCGGAAGCGUGCCAAGCAGAAUAGGUUUGACCCAUCAAAUAUAGACAGUGAUAACGAUGAAUGGCAGGAGAUUGAUGAUGAUGUUGUUGCUACGGGAGCUCAAAUGACAGAUGACGACGAGGAUUCUGUGGUUGAAUCACCAAUAUAUCAAAAUUAUCCUGGUCACAAUGAGAUAUAUGUGACUGAAAAACAAGCAUAUGAUGAAGAAGCUGGUGUUGCAACCUUGGAAGAUUAUCAGACGAUAAAUUUUUGCAGGAGGAAGGUCUUGAGUGAUG